CAUCUGUUUACUAAAAAAAAUUAACAUAUUGCAUGUUAGAUAAAAGGUAUAUAUUUUACAAGUUUCAAAUUGAGAAAAUUAUUGUGUUGUGUAAAAAUGUGUAUUGGAUAUAUGUGUAAAAAUUAUAAAAGGAAAUUUAUACAUAUAUUCUCAAAAUAUAUAUAUAUAUAUAUAUAUAUAUAUAUGCACGCACUAGUUUUGAAUAUUUUGUUCAUUAACAUUUGAGUAUUUUGUUUAUUUAAAUUUAAAUACUUUGAACACAUAUAAUUGUACUGCUGUAAAAAAACAAUUGUUUCACUUAAACUAUUCACAUGUGCACAAUAGCCUCUUUUUUUGUUUUCCUUAAUGUUUUUUUUUUUUUUUUUUUUUUUUUUUUUUGCAAAGUAUCAAAUAUGUUAUUCUGAACAAAACUGUUGUAAAAUGAUAUAGUAUUCGUUUAAAAAAUUUCAAAGAAUCUUGUGAAAAACCUUCCAUAAAAAUCUUCUAAUGUUAUAUAACUUUGUGAUACCAAAAUAAAAAUAAAAAUAAUAAAUCAAUUUUCUCAUUCAGAUGUAACUUCUUAAUUUAGAAGUUUACGUUUCAAAGAAGAAUUUAAGAUAAUUUCACAAUUCUAUAUAUAUAUAUAUAUAUAUAUAUAUAUGUUUGUCACAGUAAAUUUUAAAAAUUACUUGACCCAACUUACAUUUUUUCAGCAUCAUUUUUAAGUUUCACUUGCUAACUUCCAUAUUCUGGCUUCUUUUGUGCAAAACAUUAAAAACUUCUACAACAUUUAUGAUAAGGCUCAGACGCUUUCUUCAUGUAUUACAAUCUUACACUGACAUUUAAUUGAAAAAAUAUAUGCAUUUUGUUCGUCAUUUUGAAAUCAUGUUUUAAAUUUUUUAUUUUACAUUAUUAUUAAAUAACUUAAAAUUUCAAGUGAUUAUCAUGUUUCGAUAUUAAUCAAAUUUCAGUUAAUUUCAAUGUUGACAACACCAACAACAUGCCUACAAUCGUUUUUAAAUGUAAUCAUAUAAAUAUAUUAAUACACUAUACUUUUUAAUUGACAUUUUUAUAUUUACAAUAAUAAAUAAAUAAAUAAACACAC
rnacentral:lncRNA from 1 species